rnacentral:ncRNA from 1 species
GUGUGGCGGAGGCACACCAUUCGAAAGGAUGGGCCGCAAAGCUACAGGGCCUACCACCUAGCGUGGGGCUAGGUCAUGGCAGCCAGUUGCCGCA